rnacentral:rRNA from 1 species
AGAGUUUGAUCAUGGCUCAGAUUGAACGCUGGCGGCAGGCCUAACACAUGCAAGUCGAACGGUAACAGAAAGCAGCUUGCUGCUUUGCUGACGAGUGGCGGACGGGUGAGUAAUGUCUGGGAAACUGCCUGAUGGAGGGGGAUAACUACUGGAAACGGUAGCUAAUACCGCAUAAUGUCGCAAGACCAAAGAGGGGGACCUUCGGGCCUCUUGCCAUCGGAUGUGCCCAGAUGGGAUUAGCUAGUAGGUGGGGUAACGGCUCACCUAGGCGACGAUCCCUAGCUGGUCUGAGAGGAUGACCAGCCACACUGGAACUGAGACACGGUCCAGACUCCUACGGGAGGCAGCAGUGGGGAAUAUUGCACAAUGGGCGCAAGCCUGAUGCAGCCAUGCCGCGUGUAUGAAGAAGGCCUUCGGGUUGUAAAGUACUUUCAGCGGGGAGGAAGGGAGUAAAGUUAAUACCUUUACUCAUUGACGUUACCCGCAGAAGA